UGCAGUUCUCAGGUGACGCACCCAGAACCAGAGAGGAGGGAGCCUGAUUCUGGGGUGUGUCACCUGAGAACCGCC
rfam:Myotis lucifugus cont2.7256, whole genome shotgun sequence.